AGUGAACGCUGGCGGUAGGCCUAACACAUGCAAGUCGAACGGCAGCACAGUAAGAGCUUGCUCUUACGGGUGGCGAGUGGCGGACGGGUGAGGAAUACAUCGGAAUCUACUUUUUCGUGGGGGAUAACGUAGGGAAACUUACGCUAAUACCGCAUACGACCUACGGGUGAAAGCAGGGGAUCUUCGGACCUUGCGCGAUUGAAUGAGCCGAUGUCGGAUUAGCUAGUUGGCGGGGUAAAGGCCCACCAAGGCGACGAUCCGUAGCUGGUCUGAGAGGAUGAUCAGCCACACGGGAACUGAGAAACGGUCCAGACUCCUACGGGAGGCAGCAGUGGGGAAUAUUGGACAAUGGGCGCAAGCCUGAUCCAGCCAUACCGCGUGGGUGAAGAAGGCCUUCGGGUUGUAAAGCCCUUUUGUUGGGAAAGAAAAGCAGCAGGUUAAUACCCCGCUGUUCUGACGGUACCCAAAGAAUAAGCACCGGCUAACUUCGUG
rnacentral:rRNA from 1 species